GAGAACUCGGGAUCGAGAGAGGAUGCGGCCGUGUGAGGCGACCUUCGCCUGCCCGAACGGUUAUGGUGAAUCGUGAGUUCAGCGGGGUGGAAACCAUGGUGAUGCGACCGACCGGGUACCCUCGUCGGGCUACGCCACGAAGAGGUGGCGCGGACAUUGAAUCGUCUACUGACGAUUCGAGUCCCUUCACCCGCGAUUCCGGAACAAAUCGGACAUGAAUGUUAAUAGGUGUGCGUCGGUCGCAGUCUCCCGAUAAUUGCAGGUCAGUUACGGUGCUCUCCUUUACUGUACGCGUCUCCAUAUAAUCUGUAUCGCUGCUCCUUCCGAUUCCCCUCCCUACCUAGCAAAAUCUUCUUGGACAACCAUGAUCGAUGCUUACGGUCCUCGGUCGUCUUCCACUCUUCCCCCUUCUCCCCGUCGGACCUCCUUACCUCCCCUCUUCCCCCAAAUUUUGCACCCCCAAUUAUGUUUUGUUGAUCUUGUUCUUUACAUGUCCAAACUAAUGCAGGUUCUGUAGCUCUGUCCAUUGGAGCUUGCUUGCGACGGGUUUGCUGAAUCGCAAGGUGAAGCACUGCUUACAACUUCGACGACUUUGUGCUGAAUAAUAUGUUUGAACGACUACAUCUUCUAAUUGCUCAAGUGCCAAUGCUCUGGGCCUGUAUUGUUUCACAAAAGCACAAAUCUGCUAUGAGGGGAUCUACCUUCUGCUAAUAUUGCUCCUAACGCUCUGGCCCUGUAUUCAGUUUGGGGUAUGAAGUCCUUGUUGCCAUCUUCAUUUUUGUCACAGGAGGAUGCGAACGAUUUGUUACAAUUUGUAACCUUCUCACAUGGAAGAGCUACUCGCUACCAUUUGUAACCUUCUUUUUUGGUUGAUUACUGUGCUAUAAGGCUGUUGUAUUCCUGUUCAGGCUGUUACUGCAGAAUUUUCUGCUACCUAUGAUGUAAGACUGAAUGGCCGUUUUUAAUAAGUUUUCUCAAAGUUGAAUCUAUUCCCUCGGAUGAAGCACCUUGAUGCGCCCGCUACGGGUGAUAGAAUGUAUUGUCUCUUUAUGUAUAAACCUUCACGAUAUAAGAGGACAUCACACAUGUUGUGAUGAACAGAAAGACAAUGCCCUGGUUUUUCUAUUUCAUGAUUAUUGUUUGCCUUCCCUAGGUAUAAAAUAUUUGCUUCUUCAGGCUAGAGCUAAAUUUAAAUAAGCUCAUCUUGGCAAUUGCCUACCUUAUUUCUGUCAUACUUUGUCCAAAUUUAAAUGUUCCCUUGAGUUAUUAAAAGGCUUGCAUUGACAACUCCAAAAAAUUGUUUUUAGCAGAAAAGUAAGUUUUUUUUUUCUUCUUUCCCAUAGACAUUCCAUAUGG
rnacentral:lncRNA from 1 species